rnacentral:rRNA from 1 species
ACGAACGCUGGCGGCUGCUUAACACAUGCAAGUCGAACGGAGUGGCGAACGGGUGAGUAACGCGUGAGCAAACUGCCUAUGACAGUGGGAUAGCCUCGGGAAACCGGGAUUAAUACCGCAUAGUCAUAGAUGGGCUAGCGUCUGAUUAACUAGUUGGUGAGAUAACAGCUAACCAAGGCGACGAUCAGUAGCCGGUCUGAGAGGAUGAACGGCCAAAUUGGAACUGAGACACGAUCCAAACUCCUACGGGAGGCAGCAGUGGGGAAUAUUGCACAAUGGGGGAAACCCUGAUGCAGCGACGCCGCGUGAACGAAGAAGGUAUUCGUAUCGUAAAGUUCUGUCCUAUGGGAAGCAGUACCAUAGAAGAAAGCUCCGUCUAAAUACGUGCCAGCAGCCGCGGUAAUUC